GUGGGGAAUAUUGCGCAAUGGGGGAAACCCUGACGCAGCAACGCCGCGUGAAGGAUGAAGGUUUUCGGAUUGUAAACUUCUUUGACGAGGGACGAAUAAAUGACGGUACCUCGAAAACAAGCCACGGCUAACUACGUGCCAGCAGCCGCGGUAAUACGUAGGGGGCGAGCGUUGCUCGGAUUGACUGGGCGUAAAGCGCGCGUAGGCGGUCCAUUAAGUGUGCGGUGAAAUUCGGAGGCUCAACCUCCGUCCCGCCGCGCAAACUGAUGGGCUUGAGAUUGGGAGGGGGAUGCGGAAUGCCUGGUGUAGCGGUGAAAUGCAUUGAUAUCAGGAGGAACACCGGCGGCGAAAGCGGCAUCCUGGCUUAUAUCUGACGCUGAGGCGCGAAAGCGUGGGUAGCAAACGGGAUUAGAAACCCUUGUAGUCC
rnacentral:rRNA from 1 species